ACUCGUUUCUCGUGAAGGUGUCAGUUUGUGUUGUGAUUGUGGUGAUGUGUGUAUGUAUGGAUGGAUGAGUGUUGUCAGUGGACCUAAGUGAAACGUUCUCUAAUCUGUGCGAAACCCUCCUUUUGGAUAGUUUGGAUACCUAACUCUAACCUUAUCGGCCGUGCGCUGGGCCGCUGGGCCGCUGGCGUGCUAGGAUGGGCCGGACGGAGCAGACAGAUGACUCGCCCCAGGACACCCAGCUCACCAUGCAGUGAAGGGCGCGCGCCGUGAACGCGGUGAACGCUGUCAACAUGGAGCACCGCAAGCAGCCCGUGUCCCCCGAGGUGGCCCUGGCCUCGGAUGUGUUCGACAAGCUCUGCUCGGCCAACACCCUCAAGACCAUCCUCGGCUUCCACCGCCACCUCUGCGAACUGCUGCACCUCAAGCCCGGCCCGUUCCCCCAGUUCUACCUCAAGCUCAAGUCAAAACUACGCUCAUGGAAAGCCCAGCCCCUCUGGAACAAGUUUGAUAAACGCGCCAGUCAUAAGUGUUACAAUCGGGGAAAAGCAUGUCCAAAUACAAGGGUACUUAUUAUAGGCGCAGGACCGUGUGGCCUGCGAGCGGCUAUAGAAGCCCAGCUUUUAGGAUGCAAAGUUGUAGUAAUUGAGAAACGAGAUAGGAUAUCUAGGAACAAUGUGCUGCACUUGUGGCCCUUUGUCAUUCAGGACCUUCGGGCGUUAGGAGCCAAAAAGUUUUUUGGAAAAUUUUGUGCUGGUGCCAUUGACCAUAUUAGCAUUCGUCAACUACAAUGUAUAUUGCUGAAGGUAGCUCUGAUUUUAGGUGUCGAAUUUCAUGAAGGUGUUGGCUUUGAGGCUAUUGUUCCUCCCCCUGAGGAUCAAACAGAAAGAAUUGGAUGGAGGUGUGUAACUAGUCCUCCAGACCAUCCAGUCUCACAGUAUGAAUUUGAUGUACUCAUUGGGGCUGAUGGCAAACGCAACACUUUAGAAGGCUUUAGAAGGAAGGAAUUUCGAGGAAAGCUAGCUAUAGCUAUCACUGCUAACUUUAUAAAUCGACGGUCUGAAGCAGAAGCUCGGGUUGAAGAAAUAUCUGGAGUAGCAUUCAUAUUUAAUCAGAAAUUUUUCAAAGAUUUAUAUGCUGCUACUGGUAUUGAUUUGGAGAACAUAGUGUACUAUAAAGAUGAAACACAUUAUUUUGUAAUGACUGCCAAAAAGCAUAGUCUUCUGAACAAAAAUGUGAUUUUGCAGGACUAUCCUGACACUGCCAAACUGCUUGACCCAGAAAAUGUAGACAAAGAAGCUUUGAUGGAGUAUGCCAGGGAGGCAGCAGACUUUUCUACUAAUUAUAAGCUACCCCACACUGAGUUUGCUGUCAAUCAUUAUGGCCAGCCAGAUGUAGCCAUGUUUGACUUCACCUCAAUGUAUGCAGCAGAAAAUGCCAGCCGUGUGGUUGAAAGGCGAGGCCACAAACUGCUGACCCUCCUUGUUGGUGACAGUCUACUUGAGCCAUUUUGGCCCACUGGAUCAGGCUGUGCUCGAGGUUUCUUGAGUGUUUUGGAUGGGUGUUGGGCCAUCAAAGCAUGGGGUAGUGGCCAGUAUUCAGCUUUAGAGGUUCUGGCUGAAAGAGAAUCCAUUUACAGAUUACUUGGUCAAACCACACCAGAGAACCUCAACAGGGACCUCAAUGCCUACACACUGGAGCCUCAGACUCGAUAUCCAAAUUUCAAUAGCAGAGCUGUGUUGCCCAUCCAAGUGAGGGGUCUUUUUGACACAGACGAUCCUUCAGGACUAGAGGCCAUGCUUCUGAACCCGAGUGCAGCAAGUGCUCUUGAGAUGCCCAAGAAGAGACGCCGGAAAGAUUCUCAAGUCCACCCAGAUACAUUGCUGCAUUGGCUGAAGAAGCAGGUGGCUUUGUAUGACAAUAUCCAUAUUUCGGAUAUGACAUCUUCAUUCAAGAACGGCUUAGCCUUGUGUGCUAUCAUUCAUAGAUAUCGACCUGACUUAAUUGAUUUCCAUUCACUUAAGCCUGAUGAUAUUGUAGAGAACAAUCAACUAGCGUUUGACACUCUUGAACGUGAGCUUGGUAUUCCACCAGUGAUGACAGCUCAAGAGAUGGAGGAAUGCGAAGUACCUGAUAAACUAGCAAUGUUGUCAUAUCUCUCUCAGAUUUAUGAUACAUUCAGAGGUGAAAUCCCCCACAUAAAGCAUCCGAAGCUGGAUGAUGAAGAUAUUGUCAAGGAUAAAAAAGAGAAAACGUCCGAAGCUCUGCUUGCAACUCGCAUGAGAGAAUUGAGUAAACUUACACCCCAACAGAAAGUCAGUUUGCUUGGCCGAAUCACCAACCAUCGGCCGUCUUCAGGCCGCAAAAAGUAUGCUUCAGAUCGAGAGCUUGGCAGUGACAGAGGUGAUCGUGAUGGUACAGCAUCUUCAAUCAUUAGCAAUCCUGAAAGAAGGCAUGCCAAUGAUGUAUCAAGAAGGAAUAGAAAACGACGUAGUGGUGCAUCUGAUCGCAGUGCCUUGACUUUGGAAGAACAAAUAGCUCUGAGGUGUCCUCCCCCUGAUUUGAAGGGUCUUAGCUUGGAGGAGCAGAUGUCUCGGCUUCAGGAGCGUAUAAAGCGCCUUGAAGAGAUCAAGCAGAAUCGCAUUGAGCGACAGCAGCGCAGCAAGUACAUGCAAAUGCUUACAAGACAACAGUUUUAUAAAAGUAUUCAGAUGCUCCAGGCAAAUGCGCCACGCUCGGAUGAUGAUGAUACACCAUUCGAUGAUUACUCUCUCUUCAUGUACCGUAUGACGGCUCCUGAUUUUCAGGAUAGAGUAAAGAGUUUGGAGCAGAAACUGUUGUACCCUGAUCGAGAUCGCUUGCAAGAAGAAAUGAAAAGGGGAACUGUUGACCCUGAAUUUUCUGGUAGAAUCAAACACAUUGAGGAUAAACUACGUCGAGUACCAGCUACAGAGAAAAAGCCAAGAGACCUAAACAGAGCCAUUGGAAAAAUUGAAAAGACUGAUUGGAAUGUUAAAGAAAUUGAAAAGAAGAUUGCUGAAAACAAAACAACAGGCCGUAGCCCUCGCCAACGUGCUGAGAAAGUUCCCAAGUGGAGCCGUCAGCAAUUUGAUGAUAAGUUUUCUGCAAUGGAAAGAAAGCUCAGGGUAAAGGGAUUUGAUGAGGAAACUGCAAGCAAGUAUGCUGAAAUAGACAUGAGUUUGAAGCAGCUUGAAAAGAAAAUCAAAGAGGGUGGGUCUCUCGAGGCUGGAAAAGUGUCAGCUAUGGCUGCUCAGUUAGCUCAUAAAAAUCAGCAAGAAGCUGAAAAAACGAAUAUUCAACGAUCGAACUCGAGACCUGCAUUGGUGCUUCCUGCCCAAGGAGGAUCUGAAAUGUGUCAUUUCUGUAAUAAACGGGUAUAUUUAAUGGAACGUCUAAGUGCUGAGGGAAGAUUUUUCCACAGAGGUUGCUUCAGAUGUGAAUACUGUAGCACAACACUUCGACUUGGUAGCUAUGCAUUUGAUCGUGAUGGUAAAUUUGGAAGUAGGUUUUUCUGUACCCAUCAUUUUGGUAUGCAUGGUACACAAAAGAUGAAGACAGCUCGUAAAAGUGAGGAGCUUAGGAAUAUACUUGGUAAAGAAAACAUACCGCGUCAGCUCACAAUUGCUAAGCCACCAGACAAGAGCAAAUAUGCUGCUUCAAGUGUUGAUACUGCUGACAGUCAAGACCAGAAGACUCCCAGCACUCCUCAGCCCCAGCCUUUGGACAUUGAUUUGGACUUGGACCGUGGACAGACUCCAGAGCGUAUCACAUUCUCCAAUUUAGCUGGUGCUGCAGGUUCCUCUGACCAGGAGGACCACCCCAGUGAAAUGGACGAAGAUGAAUGGACUGAUCGCAACUUUGGAGCAUCUGCAGCCGAAUGUGAUUCAAGUGACGAUUUGUCUGAUCUCAGUGAUGAGGAUGAUGAUGGUGCAGAGGCCUUUGCAGAAGCAAUAGAUGUUCCCUUAACUGCUGAUGAGACCCUUCGGCUAGCAGAGAAUUGGACGAGGCGGUAUAGCACCGACGGUGCUCGGCAAAACGGAGCCGGUGACAAGGACCGCAGCGCCCUAGAACCCAAUGCUGAUGAAGAUGAUGAGCCUGAAAGUGGAAGUUAUGAGUAUGAGGAUGAAAGUGAUGACUUCAGUUACCAGGAGUAUGACAGUGAAGAUGAUGACAGUGACACAGCCACUGAAGGUGAAGAAGAAAUUCGUCAGCGUGAACUACGGAAACAAGAAGUGCGCCUGGAAGUGCCCGACUGCCUGCCUGGAAGGAAUGAUACUGACACUGGCUCAGAUACUGAGGUUGCGUCAGAGGAGACCUCUUCAGAGUCUGAAAGUGUGGAAAAUUCAGCUACUGAGAUUGAAACUGAUUCUGAGUUUGAGCAUGAUGGGACUACACCCACAAGACAUGAGAUCCCUGAUAUCAUUAUUAGUGAUCAUCUUACACAGGAUCUUGAAGAGCCCAAAAAAGUUCAGAUACGCAGUGGGAAUGUAGUUAAUGGUAAUAUAACAAAAGAAUCAGCGGGUAUCAAGUUGCAGUUUUCCCCUCUCCAGAACAAAGUGGAGUCGAACAAUAACGCGGUCGUAAAUGAGGUGGUCAAUCAGCCUACUCCAGUGCGGCCGUCGCCACUCAUAAACCCCCGCCGUGGAGACUACCUCUUGAAUCGAACCCAAUCCACGGGGGGCAUUGCCUCAAAGCUUUCCCUUGAACUCAAGAAGAGGUACCUCCUAGGAGGGGAUAGUGCUGGAUCAGUCAAAAAAUCGGGCUCAGCCACAACAUUGGAUUCAAGAUUCAAAAGUUUUGUUGAUCAAAUCUCAGAACAUCAGAAACUAUUGAACCCAGCUCCAGAACCCAGUCCAACAAUGCAGGCCUUUCUUCAGAGCUCAACUAAACUUCAUACUUCUCCCAAGCCUUCUUUACCAUCAUCUGCAACAUCGAGUAUCACUGCCUCAACAGUUGCCACCUAUGGCAAAAAGGAGUUGCCUCCAGUCCCUGGGGUAUUCCCCCAUGUUUGUCGUCAAUCUUCUUUAGAGAAGUCAUUAUCAUUAAAGUUAGACAAGAGUAUUCCAGAUGUAGCGGCUGUCUCACUACCUGGACAUAAAGAACUGCCCUCUGACAAUGUGUUUGAACAUGUUUGUGGCAAAGGAACUUCACAGCCCCUCCGAGUGGAAAAUUGUCGGACUUCAAUACCCAAAGACGAGCCAGAGGAGCCACUCGACAGUCUUCAACCAGACUCUCUAAUUAUUCAGGGUUCUGAUGAAGAGAAGAAUAAUAUACAUGAAGCUUCAGACAAGCAAACAGACAGCAGGCCGAGAAGUCCAGCUCAUGAAACCUCCAUAAUUGUCCCAUCUAUCGCUUGGCAGGAUGUUAAGGGACAAAAAGGGGAUAUGGAUAGUGACUCCCUUUCGUCAGAUGUCAGUCUUGUGGAUGAAGUUGAGGAAGAGGAAGAAAGAAAUGACAAGGCGAAGCAAGAAUCUCAGCAACUACCUCCUCGGGUCGAAGUCCAUAAUUCGUGUGGUGAAUUGCUCCAGGAUGUCUCUCAACGUCAAGUGACUGUCCACCCAGUGAAGCCUGCACUGGACCUGCCCCUCAGCUCCAUCAGCUUAUCAUCUUUAGGCAAACACAUUGGGCCGGGGAGCGGUCGCAGCAGUCCUGUUUCUCCAGUUUCUAUCCAAACGGACAUUGGCCAAGCUCCACUUACCGAAACUGAGCUCUCAGACUGGGCUCACGAUGCAAAUCCAGGUGUAUCUGAAGACCUAGAUGAUGUGGAGUUUAACAUUAAUCCUGAGUUUGUGACAUUGCGUAGAAACAAGAAACACAAAAAUUCAAAGAAGCCUGUUCGUGCUGAAAAUGUUCGUCCGGCAAAGAUUGCCACCGGUGAGGACCUUGAAGAUUUUGAAAGUGACAAUGCUCGCAGUCCUGCCCAUGCCCCUGCUCCAGUACCUCGCUUGCAUGCUCUUGCUUCAGAAGAAAAUCUUGAAUUCAUGGACACUGGAGAAGAAGGAAGUAGCACAGAUGAUCAGAAUAAUCCUAUCAAGGAAAACCUUAGGUAUAAGGGCUAUGCACAGUUUGUGAAUUCUGAUGAAACGUCGCCAUGUGCCAUCAAUAAAGAGCUUUUGCGCUUGCCUGAUGGAAAUGGCUAUGUGCAAUUAAAGGACAAUGAGGAAGAUGAAGAUGCAGCCACUCCGGUUGUUGAUAGCAAUGCCACCAUUCCUCCCAUCGCAAGCAUGUCAUCUCCUGAAAAUACCACCAGCUCAAGUUCAGAUUCUAAAAGUAUUUUGGACCAAAACAAGGGCACAUCCUCUACAGUUGAAUUAUUUGAUGAAGACAAUUCCUACCAUGUUGAGCCCUCUACAGAAGAUGCCACAACUACCACCAGCGACAUGGUAACUAUUGUCGAUACCCCGCUUGAUCCUCCUCCUCCUGCUCUUGUUAAAGGGGCUGACGAAGGAGAUCAGAAAGCGUAUGCUGAGUGUGUGAAGCGGCUUCAGGGUCGAGUUUCUCCCUUCAGCAAUGCCAAGGAUUCUAUUGAUAUUAGGAAGUCAAGGCGGUCCAACAAAUCAUCUCCCGAGUUGGUGUCCCCAAUAGAGGAGAAGAGUGCUGCAGAGUUGCAAUUGGAUAUGACACCGACUCCUCAAGAACCUAAUAAUUCUCCAACUAACAAUGCAGGAAGUGGGUCACUGAAGUCUCCUACUACAUCAAGAAAAUUACAGCAACUUUCCCAAGAGCGCUCUAAACAGAAAAGUUUGAUUCAUGAUAUGGUAAUGGAUAAGCUUCUGGCCCAGAAAAAAUCUCCUCAAGAACGAAAGGCACGCAAGGGGUUAAGGAACUCCUUGAGUCCCCUGAGUGGAUCCAGUUCUAUUGGAUGUAUUCCUAACCUCGGAAAAUUAGAAACUGAAAGUAGUAAAGCGGUAGCACCUCCUGCAUUAUCAAAUACAGCAAAUACAUAUGCUGAUGCCAAAAAUGAAGACCCAAGCAGAUGCCACAGUGAUAAUGACAUUCUUGACAAGGUUGAUGAAAAAGAAAAGUUCUAUACUCCCAUGUUGUCUGUGAAGAAGCGAACCUUGUCAACUCCUGAUGAUAGAGAAGAGUAUUUGACACCACUAACUUCCAUGAAGAAGAGAGCAAUGUCAGAAACAAGAGCCCGUCCUUUCUCAGUACAUGGGGUGGAUCAACUGCAUGAAGUUGCUGAAAAGACCUCUGCUGCUUUACCUGAUACCCCUCUUACUAACCCAGAGGCCUUUUCCUUGCCUGAUAUCCGCAAAGCGUUAUUUAGUUCUCCUGAUGAUGUUUUCAAAACUCCUGUUGCUCCACCUCGAGCGAAGCAUGAGGAAGCAAAACGAACUGCUGAUAGAGAGCGUGCCCGUAGAGAGGCAAGAGCUAGAGCAAGACUAAAAUCUGAUGAAGAACUUGGUCUGAGUCCUGAAGACUACAUCAAAGCCCUGAAGGAAAAAGCAAGCCGAAGACUGGAUUCCAGUGUAGAAAGGGUGCAAGGAACUCCAGUACUUGAUGGCAGUGCAGAUGCUGGUUCUUCAAAGCUAAAGGUGAGUGGUGGAGAUGGGGUUACCUUACGACCAAGACCUAAGUCUAAAGACUCAGAAAGACGGAAAAGCAUAAUUCAAGCUGUUUCCGACUUCUUUCACAAAAAGUCAAGUUCAAGCGGUAGCCCCUCCAGCCCGUCACCCCCAAGCACAAGUCAGAACACUCCUGACAGGGACCGGGAGCGAGAUCGGGAACACAUUAAAUUCCCGCGGUUCCGUCUUGCUCACAAGUCCAAGGAGAAAGAGAAGGACAAAAUCAAGCUGGACCGUGUUGGAGCUAAUGACUAUUCUUUUGAUUUUGAACAGCAGGUACAGGAGUGUUCAGCUUCCGGAAAAGAUUCGUCUCUAGGAAGUGGAGGAUUCAUGACAGCUGCAGCUGCUUCCUCAGCAAAUACUGCAAUGGCGCCUGUCCUUGGUCCACCUCCAGUGCCACCUCCACCAUCCAGUUAUCUACCAAGAGCCUCAGGCACCAAGUGGCAUGUUGAUGCUUGUGUAGAUGACAGCCAAUCUGAGUUAGAAGAUUUGGAUGACUCCCGAGCAACUGGCAUGUCAACACCAACCCAUGGUUCACUGUCACUUGAUGGAUCUUCUUCAAAGAAGCAAACUCGCCUUAGCAGACGUGUGUCUCGCCAGGCACAACUCAAAAGGCUUCGAAUGGCUCAGGAGAUACAGCGUCAGCUGGAAGAACUGGAGGUGAAGCAGAAAGAAUUGGAACAACAAGGAGUUAGUGUUGAGAAAGCUCUACGAGGAGAAGGCAAUGAAAGCGGGCGUGAAGAGGUGGACUUGCUUCAUGAAUGGUUUACUUUGAUGCGUGAGAGGUCGGAACUACGACGUUAUGAAAGAGAACUGAUAGUUAGAGCCCAAGAGUUAGAGCUGGAAGACAGGCAUGCUCGUCUUCAAUUGGAAUUGAGGGAUCGUCUCUCUAAAGAUGAUGCAAGUAAGACAGGCGAUGAUGUGGCCACUGAAGGCAGAAUUCUAAGUGAGAUGCUCGAAAUUGUGCAGAAACGGGAUUCCCUCAUUGCACGACUAGAAGCUGAUCGACAAAGGUGCGGAUGGCUGGCCAAUAUGCCACAAGUGCGCAGGCACAGGCCACAGAAAACCCAACGCUUCCUUGUCCUACUGCUGUGGCUAGCACAGCUUGCAGUAGCUUGGGCACUUUCCUAUGUUGUAGUUGGCCUUCUCCUUCCAGACCCAGAAUCCUAGCAUGUGCUUCUAUGACUCCUUUUUAUCCCCUGUUGGUGUUGGUGUUGCAUGGAAUGUUUACACCUUCAUAAAAUGUCCUAUUGUAAAAGAAUUAUUAAUUUUAGCUACUGCAUUGUCAUUACUCAGUAUCUUCUUGCUGGACAACUAGUCAUUUUUUCCCAAACUGUAUUGGAGUUCCUAUUGGUCUCUUCUAACUUUUCCAGUAUUGUCUCAUAAUUGCUUAUUCUUUGUUAUUUUUAUUUUUUCCCUUUCUGUUGGUUUUGGUGAUGCAUGAGUUCUUUGCAUUCUUUUGAUUUAUUGCCUUGUUCUUUUGUUGUUUUUUUUUUUUUUUGGUUGAACAAUUAGUUUUUUCUCUGUGCAUGGCUAGUCACUGUUCUGAACUGUAUUGUAAUUCUUAUUCGUAGUCUCUUCGGAUUUUUUGUAGUCUUAUAAUUUUCUCAGAAAGAACGUAUUACAAACAGACUUUGUUCUGCAUGUGCUUUGUUACUUUUAUUAUUUCUUUCUGCUGUGAUGGCUUCCCCCACUUGUGAUUUAGAAAAUUGCAUUAUUAGUUGCAUGCUGUUACUAUAAGUUAACAAUAUUCUGCUCCUUAGCCCUUCAAUUAUUUGAGGUGAACAAAAAUGACAAAACUGCAAAUUACAAAACUGCUUGAUAUAUAUUGGGUCCUUAAUUGGAAGCCACUCGGAGAGUGCAAUGUAAAACUUAUGGUGAACUGCAUUUGAAUAUUUUGGGUCCUAGUUUUCACACUGUGUGUUGUGCUAACAUCCCAUUCCAUUCCAAAUAGUCAACUGCAACUAGGUUAGUGAAAUGGGCAAAACAGCCACAUUUAUGGAUUGCAUGGAAUGUGCACCAUGCUCCCUCCCUCCUUGUAUCCAGUCCCACUGUCUUGUCAAGUCAAAAUCAACACCCCCUUGUCCUUUUCUCAGCUGAACCUUGCUCAGCGACAAGAAAAGGUACCAAGAGGAGGAAAAAGACCUUGAAGCUCAAAUGUUAGCCAAAGGAUUACGAUUAACACCUUUAAGGAAGGAGUCUCAUGUCUAGAGCCGAUGUUGCACAUCUAUUGGCAAAGUAUUUACUUUGUUUCUGGCACUUUUUCUCCUCUAUUGGCUAUGACUAGCAUUUACUGUUCUUCAAUGCUUUGUUUAAUACAUGUUAUCAAAAUAUGUGAUCAUUGACAGUGCUAUAAUUAGUUGUCCUGUUUUUUGUUUUAAAAAAAAACACUGUCAUUUUAUUUUUAUCUUAUGUAUUCUUUUUUUGAUUUGUCAUAUCUCGCAUAGCUUUCCUUUGAAUUCUUAUAAAAGUGUUUAAUAUAGUAGCUUGUUACAUGAGGUCUGACUGGAUGAAAUAGAUAUUUUCAAUUAUUUUCAAAUGAAUUUCGAAUAUUUGCAAUUGUAUUCGUCAGAUAGUUCAUUUCGUGUUGCGUCGUGCAAUUUUCUUUUGUCAGUUUUACUUAUUCUCGAUGAACUGUAUUUUAUGUGUUCAAAGGGCUGCAUAGUGUUUAUGCAUGUACUUUCACGCUCAAAGAGAGCUCAGUUAUAUGAAGAUAGUACUUAUUCUAUGUGAGACUUCUGUCAAACAAAUUUUACUAAGGUGUGAUAUGGUGAUUGCUUUUAUUUUAUAAGUAACGUAUGCCUCUUUUUCUAUUCCUAUCAUAUGUUUUGAUUUUGACUUGCCCUUCUGUGAGAAGUGACUAAUCAUGAAAUGUUAAUUUUACUCGGGGCAGACAGUGUCAUUUGUAAAUACAUCAGCAACCUGUGAUCUGUUUUGCCUGAUUGUGCACACCCAGGAAAUUUGUAUUUGACAUGUGUAUAUUUUGAAUUGUCCAUGUACAGAAAUAUUUUAGGUCAUAAAUGUCAUUUUAAGUACUUUUUGUGAUUUACCUCUAGUUAGUUGAAGAAGCUUUUUACAGGUGAUUGUGAAACUUACAAGAUCUUAGACAGUUUUCAAUUUUUAGUGUAGGACUAGUGAUUGCCAUGUGAAAACACUUACCAGAAAUAGGGGGUCCAAUGUUAUGAUGAAGCAUCAUGCAUGAUUUCAGCAUUAUGUCUGGUUACAUGAUUUAACUGUGUCUGUUCACAUCACCAGACUGGAAGCAAGGCAAUUUAUUUUUCCAUCACCUUCUGUUCAGUCAGUUAUGAGAAGGCUAUGCACAUGUAAAUGUGCAAGAUGAUAUUUGUUGCCAAUAUAUACCAAGAUAUUUAUUUAUGUAGAAUUUUCUGACUUUUGUAUGGUUUGUUGGGGAGCAUGCCCCAUAGUUUUACUAAAUAGUCAAUGUACUGAAUUCGAGAAAAGAAAAAAUUAGGGGAAUCUGCGGUGCUAUUAUGCGCCUGUUGGAAGAGACUAUUUUUACUGCAAGUCCAAAGAACAAAGUUUGAUUUUGUAUUUUGAAAUACUUGUUGGGAAUUAUUUUUUGGUUUAACAUUAAGGGUAAUAGGAUGUAAGAAUUUUGUAUUUGAUUGAUAACAAUCAUGCAAAUUGCUAAAUAAUGUGAUAACACAUGCUUGUUGGAAUAUUUUAUAAUUUGUGGUAAAGCACUUGCCACAUGCAAUCCUAAUGUAUCAUUUGUCACUUUGGUAGACCGGAUGAGUUUCCUUUCAUUGCAUUGCAUUACAAUUGCCAUGUAAUUUUAAUUACAUUAGGAACUGUGCAUGUUUCCCAGUUCUUCUUCGCUGUUUGACUCUGAAGCUUAAGCUAUUAGAUCUAUAUUAGUUACAGGUUGCUCAAUGAACUCCCAACAAGAUUGCCCUCAAAGAAAUAUUCCUUUUCUGUAUAAGUGAUUGCAAUAAAGAAAAUUACUUGAAACAAAA